UACGUAGGGUCCGAGCGUUGUCCGGAAUUACUGGGCGUAAAGAGCUCGUAGGUGGUUUGUCGCGUUGUUCGUGAAAACUCACAGCUCAACUGUGGGCGUGCGGGCGAUACGGGCAGACUUGAGUACUGCAGGGGAGACUGGAAUUCCUGGUGUAGCGGUGGAAUGCGCAGAUAUCAGGAGGAACACCGGUGGCGAAGGCGGGUCUCUGGGCCGAUGACUGACGCUGAGGAGCGAAAGCGUGGGGAGCGAACAGG
rnacentral:rRNA from 1 species